AUUGAACGCUGGCGGCAGGCCUAACACAUGCAAGUCGAACGAGUGGCGGACGGGUGAGUAAUGUCUGGGAAACUGCCUGCUGGAGGGGGAUAACUACUGGAAACGGUAGCUAAUACCGCAUACCAUCAGAUGUGCCCAGAUGGGAUUAGCUAGUAGGUGGGGUAACGGCUCACCUGGUCGGCGAUCCCUAGCUGGUCUGGGAGGAUGACCAGCCACACUGGAACGGAGACACGGUCCAGACUCCUACGGGAGGGAGCAGUGGGGAAUAUUGGACAAGGGGCGCAAGCCUGAUGCAGCCAUGCCGCGUGUAUGAAGAAGGCCUUCGGUUUGUAAAGUACUUUCAGGGGGGAGGCGUUACUCGCAGAAGAAGCACCGGCUAACUCCGUGCCAGCCGCCGCGGUAAUAC
rnacentral:rRNA from 1 species